rnacentral:rRNA from 1 species
GACGAACGCUGGCGGCGUGCUUAACACAUGCAAGUCGAACGGAAAGGCCUCUUUCGGGGGGUACUCGAGUGGCGAACGGGUGAGUAACACGUGAGUAACCUGCCCUUGACUUUGGGAUAACUUCAGGAAACUGGGGCUAAUACCGGAUAUGAGCUCCUGCUGCAUGGUGGGGGUUGGAAAGUUUCGGCGGUUGGGGAUGGACUCGCGGCUUAUCAGCUUGUUGGUGGGGUAGUGGUUUACCAAGGCUUUGACGGGUAGCCGGCCUGAGAGGGUGACCGGCCACAUUGGGACUGAGAUACGGCCCAGACUCCUACGGGAGGCAGCAGUGGGGAAUAUUGCACAAUGGGUGGAAGCCUGAUGCAGCAACGCCGUGUGCGGGAUGACGGCCUUCGGGUUGUAAACCGCUUUCGCUCAUGACGAAGCUUUGUGUGACGGUAGUGGGUAAAGAAGCACCGGCUAACUACGUG